rnacentral:rRNA from 1 species
UGGGGAAUAUUGCACAAUGGGCGAAAGCCUGAUGCAGCGACGCCGCGUGAGGGAUGACGGCCUUCGGGUUGUAAACCUCUUUCAGCAGGGACGAAGCGCAAGUGACGGUACCUGCAGAAGAAGCACCGGCUAACUACGUGCCAGCAGCCGCGGUAAUACGUAGGGUGCAAGCGUUGUCCGGAAUUACUGGGCGUAAAGAGUUCGUAGGCGGUUUGUCGCGUCGUUUGUGAAAACCAGCAGCUCAACUGCUGGCUUGCAGGCGAUACGGGCAGACGUGAGUACUGCAGGGGAGACUGGAAUUCCUGGUGUAGCGGUGAAAUGCGCAGAUAUCAGGAGGAACACCGGUGGCGAAGGCGAGUCUCUGGGCAGUAACUGACGCUGAGGAACGAAAGCGUGGGUAGCGAACAGG